UACGAAGGGGGCUAGCGUUGCUCGGAAUUACUGGGCGUAAAGCGUUUGUAGGCGGCUUUUUAAGCCAGUGGUGAAAGCCUGGGGCUCAACCCCAGAACUGCCAUUGGGACUGGAAGGCUAGAGAAUGUUAGAGGUAAGUGGAAUUCCUAGUGUAGGAGUGAAAUCCGUAGAGAUUAGGAGGAAUAUCGAUGGCGAAGGCAGCUUACUGGGACAUUUCUGACGCUGAGAAACGAAAGCGUGGGUAGCAAAC
rnacentral:rRNA from 1 species